AGUUAAACAAUAACAUUUACCUUGUAAGUAAAAAUUCUACGAAUAUUAUUUUAGUUUAAAUA
rnacentral:tRNA from 1 species